UACGGGGGGGGCAAGCGUUGUUCGGAAUUACUGGGCGUAAAGGGCUCGUAGGUGGCCAACUAAGUCAGACGUGAAAUCCCUCGGCUUAACCGGGGAACUGCGUCCGAUACUGGCAGGCUUGAAUCCGGGAGAGGGAUGCGGAAUUCCAGGUGUAGCGGUGAAAUGCGUAGAUAUCUGGAGGAACACCGGUGGCGAAGGCGGCAUCCUGGACCGGCAUUGACGCUGAGGCG
rnacentral:rRNA from 1 species